rnacentral:rRNA from 1 species
CCGCCGGCGACCGGCGCACGGGUGAGUAACACGUAUGCAACCUGGCCGUGACAGAUGGAUAACCGGGAGAAAUCCCGCCUAAUACAACAUAAUGCCGGGAGGGGACAUCCCCUGCCGGCCAAAGGGGGCGAACCCCGGUCACGGAUGGGCAUGCGGCGCAUUAGGUAGUUGGUGGGGCAACGGCCCACCAAGCCGACGAUGCGUAGGGGUUCUGAGAGGAAGGUCCCCCACAUUGGAACUGAGACACGGUCCAAACUCCUACGGAAGGCAGCAG